rnacentral:hammerhead_ribozyme from 1 species
AUCUAGGUGACGAAUCUCAAAUAUGACGAAAUGUGCAUCCUGGAU